rnacentral:lncRNA from 1 species
UCUGUUUAUGACUGCUGUUCCUGAGUGGCUCGACCAAUUAGGUAUAUACUGGGAUGUCUCAUCUGCUUUACCCAGAAACAAAAUAGCUGCCAACCCCCUGAACUGCCAUUAGGAUUAGACAUGACUCAGGCAUCUAUUGACUCUGAAACGUCAAGUUAAGCAGUUCUGCUUCCCCCAUCAGCAGGCACUUGGACACCUGUGGAAGCAGUAGAAAGGACCUGGAGCCAUUAGAGCUAUAGUCAUCUCUGUCAUUAGAUGUUGCAUAGUUGCCCAAGGUCUGCCUGAAGCCUUGGGAGGAUCUGGAUGCUGACUCUGAACCUUGCCCCAGAUGGAAGUGCCUGUUGAGGGAAUGGUGUUCUCAGGAUCUCUCCAAAACACCUUGCACACCAAUAACUAUUGGAAGAAAUGAGAAGCUUCAUUUUACAGAUGCACAGAGUUUCAGGGUCCAGUUUGGGGACAUGGGGAAACUGUAUUGUUUUUGCAUUACCAGAGCACCCUGCAAACCCACCUCCAUCCACGACCUGAAGUUCUAUAGGACACAAUGACUUCAGUAUAUAUAUUUAAGGGCUAGAAAGAGGCAUUAAAAUCACAUGGUUGUAAAAGUUAUAAAUAUAAUGAAACAGUAUUUCUUCCCUUUUUUUAAAAGCAUUCUAUGUGGGCACAGUUGGUUAUGCUUUGUGCAUGUGCUACAUUAACACAUUUACAAGUGGACUUAAAAAAUAUUGCCCCAAGUGUAUUCCUUUAUCUGUGACCAUAGAUACAUGGUCUUUAGGCUGUGAUAGCCUAAAGACAGCCUUUCCAGGUCUCUUUUGAAAACAGUAUUUUAAAGUUGUAGUCCUACUGAUAAGUCUCUGAAAUUGGCUUCUUGGAGUGUGUACCAAGAACUCACAUUAUUCUUCGCUCAUUUUCUAUCAUGUAUUUUGCAAGGGACAGCCCUGAAGACAGAUGGAAUGGUACCAUUAAGAGAUUCUGUAGACCAAAAUUUAGGUGCGGACUUAGUUGUUAAUCACAUCAGUCUCAAUUUAAAAAACAAAUGGCCUUUUAAAAAAAGCAAACUGUGCUGUUGCACUGCAGUAUAUGCAAGGCAUUUGUCAAAUGCACAUCCUUUAAUCAACAGAUGAAGGCCCACUGAGUCUUUUCUAUUUAUAUUUACCUAAAAGUCAACUUGCUCAGCCCCACUAUUAAAAGUUCCAAAUCAUCUCUCUGUGUUAAAACUGAAAAAAACUUGUUGUAUUUCAGUAUUCUAAAAUAUAACCCAUUUCCCUUGAAGCCAAAAAUAAGGAUAUGUUUAUUUCUAUGGUUACAACAGUCGGUUGCACUGAUGGCAAAAUAAAAAGGUCCAUUGGAUAAGGACACACAGUUCUAUUAAACCUGAUUAAUCUUUUAAAAAAUAAUUUUUAAAUGACUGUUCAAAGUCAGUGCCACAACUGAAAGCCUGAAAUAAUGUAACAUGUUUAUAACGCAGUCUGAGUUCAAAUUUUUUGUGGAAUUUUUAAAUUUCUAGCUUGCUUUAGCUAGAAACCAAUGUUUUCAAUAUUAUUCUAAAUACAAAAUUAUUCCUACUCUCUCUGCUCUCAGUCACUUUCAUCAGAGAACUUUGUUUGACUAUAUCUAACAGAUUUUCAGUUAGGUUUACUCACGUUACCUAAGUGAGAAACCACUGUUUUCUUCUUGCUUUGUACUACCUCUUUCCCUGAUUGGAUUCCUUAAGCAGAGAAAGACUAAGAAAAACUAGAUGGAAGGUGUAAUUUCAACAAAACAGAAACAUUUAACUUCAACAGUC